AGCAGCCGCGGUAAUUCCAGCUCCAAUAGCGUAUAUUAAAGUUGUUGCAGUUAAAAAAGCUCGUAGUUGAAUUUCGGGAUCAGACUGUCGGUCGUGCCUCGGUACGCACUGGCAUUAUUGGUUCCUACCUUCUGAAGAACCGCGAUGUCAUUAAUUUGGUGUCGUGGGGAAUCAGGACUGUUACUUUGAAAAAAUUAGAGUGUUUAAAGCAGGCGCACGCUUGAAUACAUUAGCAUGGAAUAAUGAAAUAGGACGUUUGAUUCUAUUUUGUUGGUUUCUAGGAUCGACGUAAUGAUUAAUAGGGAUAGUUGGGGGCAUUAGUAUUCAAUUGUCAGAGGUGAAAUUCUUGGAUUUAUUGAAGACUAACUACUGCGAAAGCAUUUGCCAAGGAUGUUUUCAUUAACCAAGAACGGAAGUUAGGGGAUCGAAGACGAUCAGAUACCGUCGUAGUCUUAACCAUAAACUAUGCCGACUAGGGAUCGGAUGAUGUUAAUUUUUUAAUGACUCA
rnacentral:rRNA from 1 species